rnacentral:tRNA from 1 species
GGUAAGGUGACUGAAUCAUAAGGUGAUGGACUGUAAAUCUAUUUAUGAGUAAAUAUCUCUCUUACCA